GCACAGUUUUCACAUGCUGCUUCUCCUGCCUUCAGACAAGUUCUUCUUUUGCACAGUGUUUGGCACGCACUGAAAUUUCUACAUGAAUUGGAAGUUGUGCUGCUGCUUCACAACCCCUCUGCCCGGCCAAAGGGGCUCAGAAGAAGCUGUGGCAGAAAUGACCAGGCAUCCUGAGAAGAUGCCCACACCAAUCUUCACAAAAAGCAAAAAUAGGCUUCAGCUUCCCUGUCCCCUGGCAACCAGACCCACCGUGUCCAUCACCCCUCCUGGCUCACUGUGGCUGCCUGAUUGAUGAGAGGAGUGGUUCAGGCAGGGGACCGGCACAGAAUCCUUUGUGGCGUCCCCCAGGGAGGCAGCUCGGAGGCAGCAGCUGUCCCCAGAGCCCCCUCGGACAAUAGGGGGUGGCAGAAGGUGAGGAGAACGCUCGUGCCUGCACAAGGAAGGAUAAAAGCUCCAUAUGUGCCGGGCCCAGCAGAUGCCCCUCCGCCGUCCCCUCCCUCUGCCUUCCACAGGCAGCAUCUCCAUCAGCGGCUCCUGCUCACAGGGACAUUCAAGGGACAUUCCCAGGGACAUCCCCAGCCCCUCGGGUUUCUGUGGUUGAGGUUGAGAUGACCCCCCAGGUGUUAGAAAUUCUCU